GACGAACGCUGGCGGCGUGCUUAACACAUGCCAGUCGAACGAAGAGCGAUGGAAGCUUGCUUCUAUCAAUCUUAGUGGCGCACGGGUGAGUAACGCGUAAUCAACCUGCCCUUCAGAGGGGGACAACAGUUGGAAACGACUUCUAAUACCGCAUACGAUCUAAUCGCGGCAUCGAGGAUAGAUGAAAGGUGGCCUCUACAUGUAAGCUAUCACUGAAGCAGGGGAUUGCGUCUGAUUAGCUAGUUGGGGGGGUAAAGGCCCACCAAGGCGAUGAUCAGUAGCCGGUCUGAGAGGAUGAACGGCCACAUUGGGACUGAGAAACGGCCCAGAAUCCUACGGGAGGCAGCAGUGGGGAAUCUUCCGCAAUGGACGAAAGUCUGACGGAGCAAAGCCGCGUGAGUGAUGACGGCCUUCGGGUUGUAAAGCUCCGUUAAUCGGGACGAAAGGCCUUCUUGCGAAUAGUGAGAAGGAUUGACGGUACCGGAAUAGAAAGCCACGGCUAACUACGUG
rnacentral:rRNA from 1 species